rnacentral:rRNA from 1 species
UGGUCAAGUUAUUAAGGGUGCAGGGCGGAUGCCUUGGCACUAGGAGCCGAUGAAGGACGUGAUAAGCUGCGAUAAGCUUCGGGGAGUUGCACGUAAACUUUGAUCCGAAGAUUUCCGAAUGAGGAAACUCACUUAGAGUAAUGUCUAAGUAUCAUUAAGUGAAUACAUAGCUUAAUGAGGGGAACUCAGGGAACUGAAACAUCUAAGUACCUGAAGGAAGAGAAAGAAAUUCGAUUCCGUAAGUAGCGGCGAGCGAACGCGGAUUAGCCCAAACCAAUAAAGUUUUCUUUAUUGGGGUUGCGGACAUAUCAUAACGGAGAGGUAUCGUAAUUGAAGAGGUUUGGAAAGACCCACCACAGAAGGUAAUAGUCCUGUAUGUUAAACGAGAAGACUUUAGAUAUGAUCCAGAGUACCACGGGACACGUGAAACCCUGUGGGAAGCAGGAGGGACCACCCUCCAAGGCUAAAUACUACCUAGUGACCGAUAGCGUAUAGUACCGUGAGGGAAAGGUGAAAAGAACCCCGGGAGGGGAGUGAAAUAGAACCUGAAACCCUGCACUUACAAGCUGUGGAAGCACAUUUCUUGUGUGACCGCGUACUUUUUGUAGAACGGGCCAACGAGUUACGUUAAGUAGCAAGGUUAAGCACUUAAGGUGUGGAGCCGUAGCGAAAGCGAGUUUUAACUGAGCGUUCAGUUACUUGACGUAGACCCGAAACCGGGCGACCUACCCAUGAGCAGGAUGAAGCGAAAGUAAAAUUUCGUGGAGGUCCGAACCCACGAGCGUUGAAAAGCUCGGGGAUGACUUGUGGGUAGCGGUGAAAUUCCAAUCGAGCCCGGAGAUAGCUGGUUCUCCCCGAAAUAGCUUUAGGGCUAGCCUCAAGGUGAGAGAUACGGAGGUAGAGCACUGAAUGUCCUAGGGGGUAUUGCACCUACCGAAGACUAUCAAACUCCGAAUGCCGUCAUCUUAUACUUGGGAGUCAGACUGUGGGUGAUAAGAUUCAUAGUCGAAAGGGCAACAGCCCAGAUCGUCAGCUAAGGUCCCUAAAUGUAAGUUAAGUGGUAAAGGAUGUGGGAUUGCACAGACAACCAGGAUGUUGGCUUAGAAGCAGCCACUCAUUCAAAGAGUGCGUAAUAGCUCACUGGUCGAGUGAUCCUGCGCCGAAGAUUUCCGGGGCUAAAACUUACUACCGAAGCUACGGCAUCAGUAAUGAUGGGUAGGGGAGCUUCCCAUACGGGUUGAAGCAUGACCGUAAGGACAUGUGGACAGUAUGGGAGUGAGAAUGUUGGCAUGAGUAGCGAGAUGUGGGUGAGAAUCCCACAGGCCGUAAACCCAAGGUUUCCAGGGGAAGGUUCGUCCGCCCUGGGUUAGUCGGGACCUAAGCUGAGGCCGAAAGGCGUAGGUGAUGGACAACAGGUUGAUAUUCCUGUACUACCGAUAACCGUUUGAGAGAAGGGAUGACACAGUAGGAUAAGCUAAGCACACUGUUGGUUAUGUGUGCCCAAGCAUUGAGGCAGUCAAAGUAGGCAAAUCCGCUUUGAUAAUGCUGGGAUGUGAUGGGGAGCGAAAUUUAGUAGCGAAGUAGCUGAUUUCACACUGUCAAGAAAAGUCUCUAUCGAGGUUAAAGGUACCCGUACCGCAAACCGACACAGGUGGGUGAGGAGAGUAUCCUAAGGCCAGCGAGAGAACUGUUGUUAAGGAACUCGGCAAAAUGACCCCGUAACUUAGGGAUAAGGGGUGCCACCAUCAGGUGGCCGCAGAGAAUAGGCCCAAGCGACUGUUUACCAAAAACAUAGGUUUCUGCUAAGUCGCAAGACGAUGUAUAGGAGCUGACGCCUGCCCGGUGCUGGAAGGUUAAGGGGAUCUGUUAGAGCAAUCGAAGCAGUGAACUUAAGCCCCAGUAAACGGCGGCCGUAACUAUAACGGUCCUAAGGUAGCGAAAUUCCUUGUCGGGUAAGUUCCGACCCGCACGAAAGGCGUAACGAUUUGGGCACUGUCUCAACAACAGACUCGGUGAAAUUGUAAUUCCGGUGAAGAUGCCGGAUACCUGCGACAGGACGGAAAGACCCCAUGGAGCUUUACUGUAGCUUGACAUUGGGUCUUGGUACUACAUGUACAGGAUAGGUGGGAGGCUUUGAAACCAGGACGCCAGUUUUGGCGGAGCCAUCCUUGGGAUACCACCCUUGUAGUACUGGGACUCUAACCAUAGGCCAUGAAUCUGGUCUUGGGACACUGUCAGGUGGGCAGUUUGACUGGGGCGGUCGCCUCCCAAAAGGUAACGGAGGCGCUCAAAGGUUCUCUCAGUACGGUCGGAAAUCGUACGUAGAGUGUAAAGGCAAAAGAGAGCUUGAUUGCAAGACAUACAGGUCGAGCAAGGAUGAAAAUCGGACUUAGUGAUCCGGUGGUUCUGCGUGGAAGGGCCAUCGCUCAACGGAUAAAAGCUACCCUGGGGAUAACAGGCUUAUCUCCCCCAAGAGUCCACAUCGACGGGGAGGUUUGGCACCUCGAUGUCGGCUCAUCACAUCCUGGGGCUGUAGUAGGUCCCAAGGGUUGGGCUGUUCGCCCAUUAAAGUGGUACGCGAGCUGGGUUCAGAACGUCGUGAGACAGUUCGGUCCCUAUCCGUCGCAGGCGUAGGAAAUUUGAGAAGACCUGUCCUUAGUACGAGAGGACCGGGAUGGACGUACCUCUGGUGUACCAGUUGUCCUGCCAAGGGCAUGGCUGGGUAGCUAUGUACGGAAUGGAUAAGCGCUGAAAGCAUCUAAGCGCGAAGCCAACUUCAAGAUAAGAUUUCCCACCGCAAGGGUAAGACCCCAGAAAGACUAUCUGGUUGAUAGGUCGAAGGUGUAAGUGCAGCAAUGUAUUUAGCUUAUCGAUACUAAUAGGUCGAGGACUUGACCAAU